GCUGGGCGUGGUGGUUCAUGCCUGUAAUCCCAGCACCUUGGGAGGCUGAGGCGGGUGGAUCACCUGAGGUCAGGAGUUCGAGACCAGCCUGGCCAACAUGGUGAAACCCCGUCUCUA
rnacentral:SRP_RNA from 1 species